CACGUGUGUAUGUGUGUGUGUCAUAAAGAGCUCCACAGCACAGUUUGUUGUUUGUGCACUAAUGAAUGAAUGCUGAAGCUUCCUGGAGCACACAGAGAGUGAGCAGAAACUGUAGACUGCAGACUCAUAAGUUCUCACAGUCAUCAAAUGCUGUUGUUUUCCUUGGCUGACCUGUUUGAAGUCUGGAUGUUACACAAGUAGUUCUUUUCUUUUUUAGGAUGUUCCAAAUUGUUGUAUUAGCUAUGCUUAAUGCCUGUGCAAUUGUGCUAGCACCUUUUCUCAACUACAAAAUGGCUUGCUUUUUUCCACCUACCUGAAGGCACUUAUUGCAUCGCUCUGUGCUCCACCGUCCCUUAAAGUCUCCAGCACAACUCGACUUGACCCACCUUCCUUCACGUUAACACACUGGGCUUCAAUCCUUGACGAGUGGAGAUUCCUCCUAUCCAGCCCCGCCAAAGCAAAUACCCCACAAUGCAUUUGGCCACAACAUUUUCAAGCUGUUUCCCCAUUGGACCACCAAUCUGUUCCCACAGCAGCCGGAUAAGCAAAGGGUCCCACAGGCUUGUGAGUAAUGCACCUGUGUUUAAUACCUGGCAACUGAGAGCCUGGGAUGGUAAGAGGUGAGGUAAUUGAGUUAAUUUUAGGUAAUUAGACCCCCUCGUGUUUGUGUCUAUGAGAGUUUGUGGUUUCAUGUGCACGUGCAUGUACAUAAUGUAUAUAAUCAUUUUUCUCCCCUUGUGCCUCCAUGUGUAGGUGCCAGAAGGAUGCAAAGCCGCAACAGGCUGACAUAAUACACAUGAAUAUGGGUGUGUGUGAUUGUAGUGUGUGCAAGGCCAGCUGUUCAAACAGGCCUGUGAAUAAUGAGCUCUCUGCAUGUCUCCCAGCCAGACACGCAACACAGCCAAGAUGAGCAAACUGUGGAAAAACAUCUAUUACUGAUUCCCUGAACCUUCAGAACCAGCAACAAAAUGGAUAUCAUUUUUCAUCAUAAAUUGAGAAGUUAUAUAUUACAUUUACUGUGUGUAAUGUUUACAUGAACACUUUUUUCUAUAAUUAUGUUUACUCAUUUACAUUUUGAAACAAUUAAAAUUUUCUGUGACUCUAAUUAGGAAACUCAGAGACUGGUGUAAAAGUGUGCAUAUGACUACUCUGUGUGAAUUGUCCAACAUUCAUUCAUUCAUUCAUUAAUUCAGUCAGUCAUUCAUCAGAAAUUUAUAGAGCACAGGGAAUGAGGCAGGACUAUACAUCAGCUGGAACAUCAUUCAAUUGCAGACCACACACACACACACACACACACACGUUCACACAUUCACCCCCUCAUUCACACUGAAACCUACAGAAAAACUGUAGAUAUGUAAAAUUCCACAGAGACAGUAUCCUAAGCUAAGAAUUAAACUGGAGACCCUGGAACUGUGAGGCGCUGCUAUAUUUAGUGCCCUAUAUUAUGUUAAGUUUUUUAUGUUUGUCCAGUAGAGAACAACUAAGAGCUACCAUAUUCUAUAUUUUCUGUCUUUUCUUAUUCCAUAUAUUAAUUGCUGAUAAAGUAGUAAUGUUUUAGUAUGUUUUUUUAAACAGGGCUUUAUAUCUUAUGAAUAAAAGUUCAACCAAAUUUCAGUAUAUUUCAUUUUAGUUGCUGUCGUCCGGUUCUGAUUUAAAACUGUAAGACUAGGUUGAAUUUUCAAUUUGUUCAUUGCUUGUUUUUUUAUUUUGUCUGUGAGUGUGUGUUUGUGACACAUCAUCACUUCAUCUUGUAUUGAUAUUUGUGGACCAUGACUAGAAAUGAGUCCUUGUAAGUAAUAUUGUCGCAACUGCACUGAUGCCAUCAGAAACCAGAGCUGCUGAUGCAGAAAGCACUUAUUGUCACACUCAGUCCCGACUAAUAAAAGUCUUCUUUUCUCUCUCCCAUUUUUCUC